rnacentral:misc_RNA from 1 species
UUUCCGUAGGUGAACCUGCGGAAGGAUCAUUCCUAAUAAAGUGUCUUAUGGCACUUUUUAAAAAUCCAUAUCCACCUUGUGUGCAAUGUUAGAUCUCGUCAAUCUUGCCAAGAUUUUUAUACAUCAACUCAUUCUUUAACUAAUUUGUCUGAAAAAUAUUAUGAAUACUUAAUUCAAAAUACAACUUUCAACAACGGAUCUCUUGGCUCUA